rnacentral:rRNA from 1 species
AUGCACGCUGGCGGCGUGCCUAAUACAUGCAAGUCGCGCGAACAGACGAGGAGCUUGCUCCUCUGACGUUAGCGGCGGACGGGUGAGUAACACGUGGAUAACCUACCUAUAAGACUGGGAUAACUUCGGGAAACCGGAGCUAAUACCGGAUAAUAUAUUGAACCGCAUGGUUCAAUAGUGAAAGACGGUUUUGCUGUCACUUAUAGAUGGAUCCGCGCCGCAUUAGCUAGUUGGUAAGGUAACGGCUUACCAAGGCAACGAUGCGUAGCCGACCUGAGAGGGUGUUCGGCCACACUGGAACUGAGACACGGUCCAGACUCCUACGGGAGGCAGCAGUAGGGAAUCUUCCGCAAUGGGCGAAAGCUUGACGGAGCAACGCCGCGUGAGUGAUGAAGGUCUUCGGAUCGUAAAACUCUGUUAUUAGGGAAGAACAAAUGUGUAAGUAACUAUGCACGUCUUGACGGUACCUAAUCAGAAAGCCACGGCUAACUACGUG